AUUUAGAGGAAGUAAAAGUCGUAACAAGGUUUCCGUAGGUGAACCUGCGGAAGGAUCAUUACGAAAUUCGGCGCGCUUCGGCGCUGCCUUAUUCACCCACCCUUUGUCUACGUGUACCUCUAUAGCUUCCUCGGCGGGCUCGCCCGCCGCCAGGAACCCACGAAACCCCUUGCAUUAUACACGAAAACUUCUGAUAACAAACCUAAAUUAUUACAACUUUCAACAAUGGAUCUCUUGGUUCUGGCAUCGAUGAAGAACGCAGCGAAAUGCGAUAAGUAGUGUGAAUUGCAGAAUUCAGUGAAUCAUCGAAUCUUUGAACGCACAUUGCGGCCAUAGGUAUUCCUUUGGCCAUGCCUGUUCGAGCGUCAUUUACACCCUCAAGCCUAGCUUGGUGUUGGGCGUCUGUCCCGCCGWUUUCGCGCGCGGACUCGCCUCAAAGUCAUUGGCGGCGGUCGUGCCGGCUCCUCGCGCAGCACAUUUGCGCUUCUCGGAGGCCCGGCGGAUCCGCGCUCCAGCAAAGACCUUUCAUGACUUGACCUCGGAUCAGGUAGGGAUACCCGCUGAACUUAAGCAUAUCAAUAAGCGGA
rnacentral:rRNA from 1 species